GAUGAACGCUAGCGGCAGGCCUAACACAUGCAAGUCGAACGGUAACAGGGAUUGCUUGCAAUCCGCUGACGAGUGGCGCACGGGUGCGUAACGCGUAUAGAACCUACCCUUUACAGGGGGAUAGCCCGGAGAAAUCCGGAUUAAUACCCCAUAGCAAUAUUUUGGGGCAUCUCAGAAUGUUUAAAACUUCGGUGGUAAAGGAUGGCUAUGCGUCUUAUUAGCUAGUAGGUGAGGUAACGGCUCACCUAGGCAACGAUAAGUAGGGGCCCUGAGAGGGGGAUCCCCCACACUGGUACUGAGACACGGACCAGACUCCUACGGGAGGCAGCAGUGAGGAAUAUUGGACAAUGGUCGAGAGACUGAUCCAGCCAUGCCGCGUGCAGGAAGACGGCCCUACGGGUUGUAAACUGCUUUUGUACGGGAAGAAUAAUGCCACGUGUGGGCAGAUGACGGUACCGUACGAAUAAGGACCGGCU
rnacentral:rRNA from 1 species